AACGACCACAUCAUGUUGGAACACCGGUCCUCGUGCGACCACCGAAGUUAAGCAACGUCGAGCCUGAUCAGUACGUAGAUGGGUGACCGCUUAGGAAUACCAGGUGCUGUAAG